CUCCUGACCCCACAUGGAAGUGGCGCUUCAAGAGGCAACUCGAGAUUAUCCCGGAGCACCUGCUUCUCCCUUCAGAAUGGAGUCAACAACCCUUGCUACAGUGUAUUCAUGGAACUCUGGGUUGGCUCUCUCCUUAAUCUCCAACUUUCAAGGAGUUCCUUAUCAUUAAUUCGAAAAGUAUUUGUUGGGGUCUACACAGAGGAUGAGUCGCAGGUCUGUCUCCGCCUGUGAAAAACACUUAGACCCCGAGAGCUAAGAAGGGCAAUGGAAAGGGCACUGGGAACCUGAAGAAAAGCAAGAACACCGUAUAAAAGAGGUAGCUUGAAAGGAGGGAUGAAGACAAAGGAGACCAUCUAAAAUUUCCAUUUGUACUACCACAGUAGCCUCAGCUCUCAAAGGUGUCUCUCUCAA